ACGGGAGGCAGCAGUGGGGAAUAUUGGGCAAUGGGCGGAAGCCUGACCCAGCAACGCCGCGUGAGGGAAGAAGGUUUUCGGAUUGUAAACCUCUGUCCUUGGUGACGAAGGAAGUGACGGUAGCCAAGGAGGAAGCCCCGGCUAACUACGUGCCAGCAGCCGCGGUAAUACGUAGGGGGCGAGCGUUGUCCGGAAUGACUGGGCGUAAAGGGCGUGUAGGCGGCACUGUAAGUCUGGAGUGAAAGUCCUGCUUUCAAGGCGGGAAUUGCUUUGGAGACUGCAGAGCUUGAGUGCAGAAGAGGUAAGCGGAAUUCCCUGUGUAGCGGUGAAAUGCGUAGAGAUAGGGAGGAACACCAGUGGCGAAGGCGGCUUACUGGGCUGUAACUGACGCUGAGGCGCGAAAGCGUGGGGAGCAAACAGGAUUAGAUACCCUGGUA
rnacentral:rRNA from 1 species